UACAGUAAACCUCAAGAACUUGUUUGCCCUA
rnacentral:piRNA from 1 species